rnacentral:rRNA from 1 species
AAAUUGAAGAGUUUGAUCAUGGCUCAGAUUGAACGCUGGCGGCAGGCCUAACACAUGCAAGUCGAGCGGUAGCACAGGGGAGCUUGCUCUCUGGGUGACGAGCGGCGGACGGGUGAGUAAUGUCUGGGAAACUGCCUGAUGGAGGGGGAUAACUACUGGAAACGGUAGCUAAUACCGCAUAACGUCUUCGGACCAAAGAGGGGGACCUUCGGGCCUCUUGCCAUCGGAUGUGCCCAGAUGGGAUUAGCUAGUAGGUGAGGUAAUGGCUCACCUAGGCGACGAUCCCUAGCUGGUCUGAGAGGAUGACCAGCCACACUGGAACUGAGACACGGUCCAGACUCCUACGGGAGGCAGCAGUGGGGAAUAUUGCACAAUGGGCGCAAGCCUGAUGCAGCCAUGCCGCGUGUGUGAAGAAGGCCUUCGGGUUGUAAAGCACUUUCAGCGGGGAGGAAGGCGGUGAGAUUAAUACUCUCAUCGAUUGACGUUACCCGCAGAAGAAGCACCGGCUAACUCCGUGCCAGCAGCCGCGGUAAUACGGAGGGUGCAAGCGUUAAUCGGAAUGACUGGGCGUAAAGCGCACGCAGGCGGUCUGUUAAGUUGGAUGUGAAAUCCCCGGGCUUAACCUGGGAACUGCAUUCAAAACUGACAGGCUAGAGUCUU